rnacentral:rRNA from 1 species
CCCUUAGAUGUUCGGGGCCGCACGCGCGCUACACUGAAGGAAUCAGCACGUCUUUCUCCUUGUCCGAAAGGACUGGGUAACCCGCUGAACCUCCUUCGUGCUAGGGAUUGGGGCUUGUAAUUCUUCCCCAUGAACGAGGAAUUCCCAGUAAGCGCGAGUCAUAAGCUCGCGUUGAUUACGUCCCUGCCCUUUGUACACACCGCCCGUCGCUACUACCGAUUGGAUGGUUUAGUGAGAUCCUCGGAUUGGUCCCGGAGCGGCCUCUGGUCGUGCCGGAGUGCCGAAAAGAAUGCCGAACUUGAUCAUCUAGAGGAAGUAAAAGUCGUAACA